rnacentral:rRNA from 1 species
CGGGGGAGCGUUCGCGCUUCCGCCGGCGACCGGCGCACGGGUGAGUAACACGUAUGGAACCUGCCCGCAGCAGGGGGAUAAUCGGGGGGAAACCCCGUCUAAUACCGCGUAACGACCCGGAGGGGCAUCCCUUCGGGUCCAAAGGUUUACCGGCUGCGGAUGGCCAUGCGUCGCAUUAGCUUGUUGGCGGGGUAACGGCCCACCAAGGCGACGAUGCGUAGGGGUUCUGAGAGGAAGGUCCCCCACACUGGUACUGAGACACGGACCAGACUCCUACGGAAGGCAGCAG